rnacentral:rRNA from 1 species
GACAGAGGGUGCAAACGUUGUUCGGAAUUACUGGGCGUAAAGCGUGUGUAGGCGGCUUUGCAAGUCGGAUGUGAAAGCCCCGGGCUCAACCCGGGAAGUGCACUCGAUACUGCAGAGCUUGAGUGUCGGAGAGGUUUGGUGGAAUUCUCGGUGUAGAGGUGAAAAUUCGUAGAUAUCGAGAGGGAACACCGGCGGCGAAAGGCGGCCAACUGGACGAAA